rnacentral:rRNA from 1 species
UGCUAAUGACGGUACCUGAAGAAUAAGCACCGGCUAACUACGUGCCAGCAGCCGCGGUAAUACGUAGGGUGCAAGCGUUAAUCGGAAUUACUGGGCGUAAAGCGUGCGCAGGCGGUUUUGUAAGACUGUCGUGAAAUCCCCGGGCUCAACCUGGGAAUGGCGAUGGUGACUGCAAGGCUAGAGUUUGGCAGAGGGGGGUAGAAUUCCACGUGUAGCAGUGAAAUGCGUAGAUAUGUGGAGGAACACCGAUGGCGAAGGCAGCCCCCUGGGUCAAAACUGACGCUCAUGCACGAAAGCGUGGGGAGCAAACAGGAUUAGAUACCCUGGUAGUCCACGCCCUAAACGAUGUCUACUAGUUGUCGGGUCUUAAUUGACUUGGUAACGCAGCUAACGCGUGAAGUAGACCGCCUGGGGAGUACGGUCGCAAGAUUAAAACUCAAAGGAAUUGACGGGGACCCGCACAAGCGGUGGAUGAUGUGGAUUAAUUCGAUGCAACGCGAAAAACCUUACCUACCCUUGACAUGG